UGGUAGAUUAGAAAUUAAGACCUGCUUUCUUUAUAUGUGAGCAGUGUUAUUUCUUAUGUGCUAUACAAAUAGUUGAAGGUUAAUUAGCAGUAUAACUGUAAGUAGUAAUACUGCCAGUCUCCUUCAGACAAGA